rnacentral:sRNA from 1 species
CUCCAUCAGGGACAUUCUUGAGGUUUAACCUUGAUCCCUUAUGCUGCGGGCCCCAGCCUGUUGCUUCUGUUAGCAGAGGUUGGGUCAGCUCGAACCACUGCUCUCCAGAGAAUUGCUGGCUCACAUGGCUUGGAGAGCUCCCAGCGCCUUUCUCAGGCACCCCUCCCCCCACUGCCGUUCCUCCAGGCCAAGGAAGGUAGGGUUGGGGCUGGGGCAGCUUGUCUCCUUGUGACACUCCUCUCCUCCCACAGGGUCCCCAGCCCCACCCCAGCCCCAAAGGAGGCUGUUCGAGAGGGACGUCCUCCGGAGCCAACCCCAGCCAAACGGAAGAGGCGCUCUAGCAGUUCCAGUUCCAGCUCCUCCUCUUCAUCUUCCUCUUCCUCUUCCUCCUCCUCUUCUUCCUCCUCCUCUUCCUCUUCUUCCUCUUCCUCCUCAUCUUCCUCCUCCUCCUCGUCUUCCUCCCCUUCCCCUGCUAAGCCUGGCCCUCAGGCCUUGCCCAAACCUGCAAGCCCCAAGAAGCCACCCCCUGGCGAGCGGAGCCUCCUCCCUGUCUCCCCGUCUCCACGCCAUUCUCUUCCACAUGUAGCCAGAGGGACCUUUCUAAAACGCACAUCUGGCUACUUCCCUCCACUCCACAAAUCCUUCGGGACGCCCUGUGGCCUGCAGGACAAAGCCCCACCUCUGCGGGAGUGGCGUGUGAGGCUCUUCACCAACGGGCCUUGCCCGCCCUGUGUUCUCCUCCUGCCCGCCCCCACACAUGCCCUGUGCUCCAGCCACACCCAGCGCCUUGCAGUCUAAGGAGAGCCCAUGCCUUUGGACAUGCUGUUCCUUCUGCCUGGAAUUUCCUUGUCCGCCUGGUGAACUCCUCGUUCUGCAAGACUCCGCUCAAAACAGCACCUUCGAGAAGACUGCCCUGCCCCUUCCCUGCCCUGCCCCAUGUCCCCCUCCCUUGGGUCCCCAGAGCCACGCACAUCCAGCCCUGCUUCCCACACACGGGGCCGUGCGUGCCUUUCUUCACCACUGAGCUCCUUCAAGGGCAGGGACUGUCUUUAUCUUUGCAUCCCCCGCUGCACCCUGUGCCUGCCCACUGGGCACUCGGUGGAUGGUGUGCGGGCGGAUGGGUGAGUGAGCGGACAAAGGU